CAAAUAAUAUAUAUAUAAAAAGGGGGGAGAGAGGGCCGAUCAUGAGGACGAUUUUUUUUUCAAAACAUUAAAUGCCUCAUUUAAUGAGGGCAGGCAAAUCAUAUCCCUUCUGACAAAAGAGAAUAAUUAGAGAUAAGAAUACCAUGCAACUUGCUACACCAACUUGCUACACGUCACUUUCAAUGCCACCUUUUAUGUAUUGUAUACAAUCAUUUUUCUUUACCUCACACACACAUCACCCUCAAAUCCUAAGUAAUCCUAAGUUGUCUGCACACACAAAGCCAACAUGGAUAUAGGAGUUUGAGGAAGGAGAAUUUCACACAAUUCGUAGAGUGAAACACUACCAUCCAACAACACUUAACUUCCACAUCAAAAGGUUACCUCCGUAAGUAAAGUCGGAACAAAAGAUUCAAAUUAAGGAGUUUUAAGCGAACGAGGUUAAGCAGCGAAGUGGUGGAGGAAGUGCUAUUGAGACAAGACACUUAAUUCAGUCAGAUU